GCAGCGGUGGUUCAGCGGUAGAAUUCUCACCUUCCAUAUGGGAGACCUGGGUUCAAAUCCCGGUCAGUGCA
rnacentral:tRNA from 1 species